rnacentral:rRNA from 1 species
GACGAACGCUGGCGGCGUGCUUAACACAUGCAAGUCGAGCGGAGCGGCGAACGGGUGAGUAACGCGUGAGUAACUGCCCCCCUCUCUGUGAUAACAGUUGGAAACGGCUACUAAUACCGGAUAGUGGGGGAUGACUCGCGUCCUAUCAGCUUGUGGGUUGGGUAGUGGCCUACCAAGGCGACGACUGGUAGCCGGCCUGAGAGGGCGACCGGCCACAUUGUGAUGAGCUACGGCCCAAACUCGGACGGUGGGCAGUAGGGGGGAAUAUGGCACAAUGGGGGAAAGCGUAAGGCAGCAACGCCGGGUGCGGGAUGACGGCUGUCGGGUUGUAAACCGCUUUCAGCCAGGACGCGGUAGUGGCAGAAGAAGCACCGGCUAACUACGUGCCAGCCGCCGCGGUAAUUC